rnacentral:rRNA from 1 species
GACGAACGCUGGCGGCGUGCUUAACACAUGCAAGUCGAACGGAAAGGCCCUGCUUUUGUGGGGUGCUCGAGUGGCGAACGGGUGAGUAACACGUGAGUAACCUGCCCUUGACUUUGGGAUAACGUCAGGAAACUGGGGCUAAUACCGGAUAGGAGCGCCUGCUGCGUGGGGGGGGUUGGAAAGUUUCGGCGGUUGGGGAUGGACUCGCGGCUUAUCAGCUUGUUGGUGGGGUAGUGGCUUACCAAGGCUUUGACGGGUAGCCGGCCUGCGAGGGUGACCGGCCACAUUGGGACUGCGAUACGGCCCAGACUCCUACGGGAGGCAGCAGUGGGGAAUAUUGCACAAUGGGAGGAAGCCUGCUGCAGCAACGCCGCGUGCGGGAUGACGGCCUUCGGGUUGUAAACCGCUUUCGCCUGUGACGAAGCGUGAGUGACGGUAAUGGGUAAAGAAGCACCGGCUAACUACGUG